GUUCCUCUGGACUUCUUUGACAGAAAAUGUGAAGAACAAAAAGCCCUCCAGGCAGUGAGAAGAAUCACUGUGAUUCAUCCCAUGGAGCAAUUUGAAUUGUCUUCUGGAACAUGAAUAACUGUUUCUGCUGACUGGCAACUUCUUUGUUUGAAGGUCUCUCAGGCUACUGUUCUUCUAAGCUAUUUCUAACCACCUACACUCUCCAAGAAAGGCAGAAAAUCUGUGCCACUGCAAGAGACCACUCUUGCCCUUGAUAACUAUCCAGACCAGACUGAGCUAUCAGGCCUGGAUGAUCCAUGCACAGCAAAAGAACAAUUCUACAGCAGCAACGGAGACAAAGCUGACUCCUCUGUCACUGGCCACUGAAUCAGAACAUGGUUUUCCAGGGAGAGAGAAAGAUGUUGUGAGAGAGGAUAAGGUUAGGAGAGCUUUCAUGAGAAUGUGGCUGAGCUAGGGAUAACUGCUUCCCUAUUAAACUCAGCUCUGUAUUCUUAGGAUCCCUUUUUAUUGCUGUCAAGCAGGAAAGCAUUAUAUGACUCACUUUACAGCUCAUAUCUGAAAAUUGACUGGCAGCCUAAGUGAAGCUAACUGGUCAUUGUCGUAUGAUGUGCAUGUUAAGAUGACAGGAACAGGAAGCUGGAGAGUACCCAGAAACAGGCUUAGCAGCAGAAGUCUGUAUUCUCUCAAAAUCCUUCUCUUGUGUGUUCCUACAUAUCUAGCCCUUUCCGGACUGUGCUCAGCCUUUCUGUGCAAGUCAGGAGCUGCAAAAGUGCUGUUCAUUAGGAUGAACUCUUUGUGCUCUGAAGAGGCUUCAAAACAAGUCAGUAAGCAACAUAGCUACCCCAAGCACCAAAGAUCAGAGUAUGCUGCAGGCUCCACUGGGGAAGCUUUGCUUAAUGCAGGAGAGAGCAACUCCAGCAGUGGGAGAGACCAGGCAGUAUACCUCAACCCUAUUAUUCCAGGCAUCAGCUAA
rnacentral:lncRNA from 1 species